rnacentral:misc_RNA from 1 species
UCUGGGUUUAUCCCAGCGGUCUCGUUAGAAAGAUUUAACUAACGACGGGGGUUGCGCUCGUUGCGGGACUUAACCCAACAUCUCACGACACGAGUUGACGACAGCCAUGCAGCACCUGUGCACGCGUCCCGAAGGAGGAUCGGUGUUUCCACCAGCUUUCACGUGCAUGUCAAGCCCAGGUAAGGUUCUUCGCGUUGCAUCGAAUUAAACCACAUGCUCCACCGCUUGUGCGGGCCCCCGUCAAUUCCUUUGAGUUUUAGCCUUGCGGCCGUACUUCCCAGGCGGGGUGCUUAAUGCGUUAGCUGCGGCACCGCAGGGGUCAAAGCCCGCGACACCUAGCACCCAUCGUUUACGGCGUGGACUAC